GUGUUGGUGUGCUGUUUGAUACCCCUAUGUGAAGGCACAAUUAAAACAGCAUAUUAUAGGGGUGGGGAUUUACCUCAGUGGUUCUGCCACCUGCCUCGAAAGCUCAAGGCCCUGAGUUCGAUCCCUUGUACCAAAAGUAAAGUAGCAUAUUAUUUAAAAUCUGAUUUGUUCCGUCAUGAAGGAUAAAUGUUUAUUGAGAGCUUUUUAGUCUUUGAAUCUAAUGUGUGCUCUUGAAUCUAGUUGUGCUGCCAAAUAAAAAGGGAUUUUUUUUCUUUUUUCAUGCUGGAGAUUGAACUAAGGGCUUCAGGCAUGGUAGGUAAAUGCUCUAAUACUGACCCAUAGUCCCAGCUGUCAGUAUAUUCUUAUCUUCUUAUAAAGCACUUACAUGCUUUCUAAAUUUAAAAUAUUACAUAGAAAAGUUCAUAUUGUAUGUGUACAGCCCAGAAUCUUGAAAAAGUGAAUGUACUGAUGUAGAUGUUAAAUAGCUAGAUCUGGAAACAACCCUGACAAGAUUCCAGAAGCCUCCCUUCCCCUCUUCUAGUCUAACCUCCACUCUUCCCCUGAGAUAAACCACUAGCCUGGCUUAACAUGACCACAGAUUAGUUUGCCUAUCUUUCAACUACAUACGUGGAAUUAGUGUAUAUUCUUCAGUAUCUGGCCAGUUAAUACCAUGAGUCUCCACCUCGUAUGUAGCUGAGUUUCUCAGUGUUACAGUCUGUUAUGUGAAUGUGUGUAAUUUAUCCACUCUUUCAGUUAUGUGCUUGACUUUGUUUAGAAGCUGUUAUGUUUAAUGCUGUUGGGAAUUUUUAUGUGUCUUUUGGGGAACAAUGUAACAUUUAUGUUGAGUAUAUACCUGGGAGUAGAAUUCUGAGUUACAAGAUGUGUGCCUGGUCAGUUAUAGUAGGUGCUGCCUAACAGUUUUCCAAGCUGGUUGUGUCAGUUUACACUUGUAUGUGGUAUGGAAAGUCUAGUCAUUACCCCCUCAUUGAUGACACUAGAUUGUAGAGGGUUGUUUUGUGUUUUGUUUUGUUUCCAUUUUAAUUGUCCUGGUAUCUUACCUAAGGUUAAAACCUUCAGGCUUUUCCAGGUACUAUUUAUUUUAACAAUCAUACAGGUAAUUCUUAAACACAAUUUUAAAAGGUACUAAAAAGUAAAAAUGUGUUCCUCCUGUGGCCAUCUAGUUCCCCCCAAAAAGACACCAAUGUUAUCAGCAUCCUGUAUUUUUCCAAAGAGUUUUGGGUAUAUAAACAUUUUCUCCUUGCUAGAAAUGAUAGCAUGUUAUACAUGCUGUUGUGUAUCUUUCUUUAUUUGCUUAAUAAAUUUUAAAAAUGAUAAGCUUGUUGUAGUGUUGCAUGCCUG
rnacentral:lncRNA from 1 species